UUCCGGUUGAUCCCGCCGGACCCCACUGCUAUCGAGAUGGGACUAAGGUAUGCUAGUCGAACGACCAGAACUAUGUCUGGGAGUGGCACACUGCUCAGUAACACGUAGCUAACCUACCCUUAGGACGUGGAUACCCCCGAGAAAUUGGGGUUAAUCCGCGAUAGAUGUAAUGUCCUGGAAUGGUAUUACGUCUAAAGGUAUUUCAUACAUGUUUGAAAUAUGCCUAAGGAUGGGGCUGCGGCCGAUCAGGCUGUUGGUGAGGUAAUGGCUCACCAAACCUUUGACCGGUACGGGCCAUGAGAGUGGUAGCCCGGAGAUGGACACUGAGACAAGGGUCCAGGCCCUAAGGGGCGCAGCAACCGCGAAACCUCCACAAUGCACUCACGUGCGAUGGGGCUAUCUCGAGUGCCACCUGAUGAAGGUGGCUUUUCCUAGGUCUUCAAAGCCUUGGGAAUAAGAGGGGGGCAAGACUGGUGUCAGCCGCCGCGGUAACACCAGCCCCUCGAGUGGUGGGGAUGAUUAUUUGGCCUAAAGCGUCCGUAGCCGGCCGAGCAAGUCUUCCGUUAAAUCCAGCGUCUCAAGCGUUGGACUGCGGGAGAUACUGCAGGGCUAGAGAGUGGGAGAGGUCAGCGGUAUUCUGGGGGUAGGGGCGAAAUCCUUUGAUCCCCGGAGGACCACCAGUGGCGAAGGCUGCUGACUAGAACACGUCUGACGGUCAGGGACGAAAGCUGGGGUAGCGAACCGGAUUAGAUACCCGGGUAGUCCCAGCCGUAAACGAUGCAUGCUAGGUGUUGGGUUGGCCACGCGCCACCCCAGUGCCGCAGGGAAGCCGUUAAGCAUGCCGCCUGGGAAGUACGAUCGCAAGAUUGAAACUUAAAGGAAUUGGC
rnacentral:rRNA from 1 species